GUCACCCUGGAUCUCAAUAGCAGGUAAAGUUAAAGCAAAGCACACACAUAGUAUGGGGAAAUUUUCUUCAUUUUUAAUUUACAGCAGAAAGAAUAUAAAGCAUUCAGAAAACAUUUUCCAUAUUUUAAGGGCAAUUCAAAACAUUUUGCAUGGUUUCCAGCAGCUGAGUUCUUCAACAGAUCCAUUGAUUCAAUGAUGCUUUACAUGCACAAUUACAAAAAUAAAACUUACAAAAAAGAAGACAUCUAGACUAGUUUUACAUGCAAGUCUCAGGGACCCCCCAUUGGGCGCCAACUACUGUGUGGAACUGCCAUAAGCGACCCGUGCAGCCAGAGAGGGGUUCGAGUUAUUGUCUUUAUUUCGUUCACACAGUACAGCUGAUUUCAAAUGGGUAACGAGAAUAGCAAUUAAAUCUUCAGGAGACAGAAUAAGAUUAGCUAUUAAUUUUAUAAUGAAAUCCUACUCCUGGCACUUGGGAAUUCAGAUUAUCCAAGAAAGCUGCGCUUACCUAUCAUCUUAGAGUCAAAAUUAAGAUUCACAACCAAGAAAAAGCGGUCAGAAAUGCUUCGUUUCAGUGGAAGUGCAUUUGUACCUCACCCAGGAUUCACAGUUGUACUGGUAGGCUACACUGGUAGGCUUUGAACCUACUUCCUAUCCCCUCCAGAAGAACCCUCCUAAUUCUAUGUAAGUCCUUAUCUUCCAGAAGUUUCUAACUUACUCAGCUAAUAAUGUAGCAUGGGAGACAUUAAAAAAAAUAAAUAAAUGAAUACAUAAAUGUGAGGAUUAAAGCAAAUCCACUGAGGUCAUUACUCUUGUCAAAAGAUCACUUAUUUGUACCAUAAGAAAUGGAAGAAACCGAUCUCAAUUCAGUACUAACAUAUGAUAUUCUGAAAGAGCCGGCUUUCACCUUCUGUUCCCAUUUAUGAAUACAAUUGUGUUUGUAAAUUACUCAGUGUCCUCCUGUAGAUCAAAUCGUGUAAAAUAAUAGGUAUCUGGGGGUUGGGGGGGGGCGUGUGUGCAACAGCUGCAACAUAACCCACACAUUUAAAAACAAAAUGGAGCCAGGUCAGUUUACAAAUGUACAGGUGGCUACUAGUUGUGGGGCUGAAACUGUUGUCAAAGCUGAUCACAAGCGGUAAGACAUAUACUUUACAGUAAUCCGAGGUUGGCAGUGAAAGGAAGUAAUUAAAAAACAAGUACAAUUAUAGAAAAGGCACCAAGAGCACUGACCCCAGUUUUUACCACAAUCUGUUUGUAUCUAUCUUCCUUCUAGAGACGCCAGUUUAAAAGCUUAUUUGUGAAUAUUUUUAGGCUUCACAACAAGCCUUGAGUUUUAACGUACAGUUGGCAGCCAGAACCAAGAAGAAGAAGAAAACAAACAAAACUAGUUAAUCUCAGCUUUACACCAACUGAUCCUGAAACUUAACCUGGGAGUUUUAAACUGGCAUCAGCAAAUGCGAACUUUAUUCUCUCGAUUUAACGUUAGUAGUUUAAUUUUUAAAAGCAUCAGAUUUCUUUGGCUCCUCAUUAUGUAGAAAGAGUAAUAGACCAUGACAACCUUGCAAGACCAGUUUGCCUCUUUUAAAUUUUUAGUCAUUUUUUUGUGCAAUUUUUGUUACAUUUUCUGAUUUCCAGCAGGAGAUAUGAAAACGUGAGACAUUUUUCAACCUUUCGUACUAUUUCUUUUGUCAGGUUUUGAUCGUUCUAAGUGUUCUUUGUUGGAGUGAGUGGAUGGUGUUAAGCUAUAUACGGAUUCAUCUUAUGAUUAUCUGUUUAGCGAAAGUAACUUAAUUUUCUUAAGCAAUAUUAGCAUUCACAUUACUUGGCACCAUUGGCAAAAGAAUUUUAAAUUAAAUAAAAUAAACUCCUGGUAGCCAAAAUUAAAUGUAAACAUAUCCUUUUUUUUUUUUUUAAGUAAUGUUACUCUGCCUUUUAUCCUAAGUCUAAAUACAGUAGCUCUUUUUUUUUCCAGUUUAGUCAUGCUUUAGCAAAAUGUUCUUCUAAAGAACAUUUAAAAUAAAGUACUCUUAUAGUGAAAUAAAGUUUUUUUUUGUUUCAUUUUACAGACCAUAGCCACUAAUGCUUUGCUUUUGUUCAUUUCUUUUUUCUUGAUUUCAUGCACAUAUCUCUUUGUUUUAAUAUAUACAAUAUAUACAAACAAUACAUCCACAUUUUUCUCGCUCAUUCAGACAAAACUAUACAAAUAAUUUUAUCUCGCCAUGUUAUCGACCUUUGUGAAUAAAAUAUUUAGCAAUUAAUAUAAUCCCUUUCAAAUAUUUUCUCGCUUUCCGUUUCUACCUUCUAUAUAUACACAGAAACUGCUCAGUUUGGAUGAGAUUAUAGCCAAAAAUAUGGAAUUUACUGGCCAGAACGCAGCACCACACUGAUCUUUUAGGUGGCAAAUGUCCAGGCAAGGUUUAUGAUUCCUUAGAAUGACUACAGUUUCCAAGGUUACUAAGAAAAGCUACAUGCUGUACCAAUUCUCUAAGUAAAUCUCAUUGCACAUGAAAGUAAGGCCCACAAAUGAAAGUGCUGAGCAUGACAAAAGGGACGAGAUGGUCACUACACUCGCAGGUUCCUGGGAGGUGGUGGGGACAAGAAAAUAAAGUUAAACUCUGUGAGCUGUUUCUCAUUAAUUCCCAUGCAUUCCCCGUUUACCACACACCCGCCCCUCUGCAAAUUUCCACAAGACAUUAAAAACCUGCAGAUUUUAAAAGUUGCAUUAAGUGUGCUGUAGAGAUUAAAACAAACACGAAUUCAAAGAAAAUAAAACCAGUGAAGGAAAUGCGAACACACGGACCCAAUGAAGAUUUGUAUGGUCUAAGCCCUCCACUGAGAGUCAAUCCCAAAGAUUCAGCUUCUUGGAAGUAACUGACAGGUGCAGGAGCAGCAUUCUCUUUUGUUGCUAGCGCAUCCCCACCUUUGCUUAUCUAUAUUUUUGGUAUAAAUAUUUGUACAGUUCCACACGAUGUUUGAAUACAGCCCUAUAUGAGAAGGAAACCGGCUGCUUCCUAAGGAAAGGAAGCCUCUUUCGA
rnacentral:lncRNA from 1 species